rnacentral:rRNA from 1 species
AAAUGAAUAGACGGGGGCCCGCACAAGCAGCGGAGCAUGUGGUUUAAUUCGAAGCAACGCGAAGAACCUUACCAGAGCUUGACAUCUUCCUGCAUAGUCCGUAAUGGGACGAAAUCCUUCGGGACAGGAAGACAGGUGGUGCAUGGUUGUCGUCAGCUCGUGUCGUGAGAUGUUGGGUUAAGUCCCGCAACGAGCGCAACCCCUAUACUUAGUUGCCAUCAUUAAGUUGGGCACUCUAAGUAGACUGCCGGAGACAAUUCGGAGGAAGGUGGGGAUGACGUCAAAUCAUCAUGCCCCUUAUGUUCUGGGCUACACACGUGCUACAAUGGGUAUAACAACGGGAAGCGAGCCAGUGAUGGUAAGCCAAUCCCUAAAAAGUACUCCCAGUUCGGAUUGUUCUCUGCAACUCGAGAACAUGAAGUCGGAGUUGCUAGUAAUCGCGAAUCAUCAUGUCGCGGUGAAUACGUUCCCGGGCCUUGUACACACCGCCCGU